GCCUUCAUAGCUCAGCUGGUAGAGCAGCCGUUUUGUAAACGGCAGGUCGCCCGUUCGAAUCGAGGCUGGAGGCACCA
rnacentral:tRNA from 1 species